GCAAUGUUCGUUCAGGGGUAGAAUUCUUACCUUCUAUGAAGGAGACACAGGUUCAAUUCCUGGCCAGUGCA
rnacentral:tRNA from 1 species